AAGUCGAACGAACUCUGGUAUUGAUUGGUGCUUGCAUCAUGAUUUACAUUUGAGUGAGUGGCGAACUGGUGAGUAACACGUGGGAAACCUGCCCAGAAGCGGGGGAUAACACCUGGAAACAGAUGCUAAUACCGCAUAACAACUUGGACCGCAUGGUCCGAGCUUGAAAGAUGGCUUCGGCUAUCACUUUUGGAUGGUCCCGCGGCGUAUUAGCUAGAUGGUGGGGUAACGGCUCACCAUGGCAAUGAUACGUAGCCGACCUGAGAGGGUAAUCGGCCACAUUGGGACUGAGACACGGCCCAAACUCCUACGGGAGGCAGCAGUAGGGAAUCUUCCACAAUGGACGAAAGUCUGAUGGAGCAACGCCGCGUGAGUGAAGAAGGGUUUCGGCUCGUAAAACUCUGUUGUUAAAGAAGAACAUAUCUGAGAGUAACUGUUCAGGUAUUGACGGUAUUUAACCAGAAAGCCACGGCUAACUACGUGCCAGCAGCCGCGGUAAUACGUAGGUGGCAAGCGUUGUCCGGAUUUAUUGGGCGUAAAGCGAGCGCAGGCGGUUUUUUAAGUCUGAUGUGAAAGCCUUCGGCUCAACCGAAGAAGUGCAUCGGAAACUGGGAAACUUGAGUGCAGAAGAGGACAGUGGAACUCCAUGUGUAGCGGUGAAAUGCGUAGAUAUAUGGAAGAACACCAGUGGCGAAGGCGGCUGUCUGGUCUGUAACUGACGCUGAGGCUCGAAAGUAUGGGUAGCAAACAGGAUUAGAUACCCUGGUAGUCCAUACCGUAAACGAUGAAUGCUAAGUGUUGGAGGGUUUCCGCCCUUCAGUGCUGCAGCUAACGCAUUAAGCAUUCCGCCUGGGGAGUACGGCCGCAAGGCUGAAACUCAAAGGAAUUGACGGGGGCCCGCACAAGCGGUGGAGCAUGUGGUUUAAUUCGAAGCUACGCGAAGAACCUUACCAGGUCUUGACAUACUAUGCAAAUCUAAGAGAUUAGACGUUCCCUUCGGGGACAUGGAUACAGGUGGUGCAUGGUUGUCGUCAGCUCGUGUCGUGAGAUGUUGGGUUAAGUCCCGCAACGAGCGCAACCCUUAUUAUCAGUUGCCAGCAUUAAGUUGGGCACUCUGGUGAGACUGCCGGUGACAAACCGGAGGAAGGUGGGGAUGACGUCAAAUCAUCAUGCCCCUUAUGACCUGGGCUACACACGUGCUACAAUGGAUGGUACAACGAGUUGCGAACUCGCGAGAGUAAGCUAAUCUCUUAAAGCCAUUCUCAGUUCGGAUUGUAGGCUGCAACUCGCCUACAUGAAGUCGGAAUCGCUAGUAAUCGCGGAUCAGCAUGCCGCGGUGAAUACGUUCCCGGGCCUUGUACACACCGCCCGUCACACCAUGAGAGUUUGUAACACCCAAAGUCGGUGGGGUAACCUUUUAGGAACCAGCCG
rnacentral:rRNA from 2 species